UAACGAAUCUUCCGCAAUGGGCGCAAGCCUGACGGAGCAAUGCCGCGUGUGGGAUGAAGCGUCUCUGACGUGUAAACCACUGUCAGGGGUUAGAAACAAUGAUCAACCCCAAAGGAAGUGGCGACUAACUCUGUGCCAGCAGUCGCGGUAAUACAGAGGCCACAAGCGUUAGUCGGAAUCACUGGGCUUAAAGGGUGCGUAGGCUGGUCCGCAAGCGUCUUGUGAAAGCCCUCGGCUCAACCGAGGAACAGCAGGGCGAACUGCGGAUCUUGAGGCAGGUAGGGGUCGCGAGAACAGUAGGUGGAGCGGUGAAAUGCGUAGAUAUCUACUGGAAUGCCGAUGGUGAAGACGCGCGACUGGGCCUGUCCUGACGCUGAGGCACGAAAGCGUGGGGAGCAAACAGGAUUAGAUACCCUUGUAGUCCCUGAGCGGGCUGGCAAGGCGCAU
rnacentral:rRNA from 1 species